UACAGAGGGUGCGAGCGUUAAUCGGAAUUACUGGGCGUAAAGCGCACGUAGGUGGCGACGUAAGUCGGGUGUGAAAGCCCCGGGCUCAACCUGGGAAUUGCAUUCGAGACUGCAUUGCUGGAGUACGGUAGAGGGAAGCGGAAUUUCCGGUGUAGCGGUGAAAUGCGUAGAUAUCGGAAGGAACAUCAGUGGCGAAAGCGGCUUCCUGGACCAGUACCGACGUUCAGGCACGAAAGCGUGGGGAGCAAACAGG
rnacentral:rRNA from 1 species